rnacentral:rRNA from 1 species
UACAUGGGGUGCAAACGUUGCUCGGAAUUAUUGGGCGUAAAGCGCUCGUAGGCGGUCUGUCGCGUCGGCUGUGAAAACUCGGGGCUCAACCCCGAGCCUGCAGUCGAUACGGGCAGACUAGAGUGCUGUAGGGGGAGACUGGAAUUCCUGGUGUAGCGGUGAAAUGCGCAGAUAUCAGGAGGAACACCGGUGGCGAAGGCGGGUCUCUGGGCAGUAACUACGCUGAGGAGCGAAAGCGUGGGGAGCGAACAGG